rnacentral:tRNA from 1 species
GCCUUCUUAGCUCAGUGGUAGAGCGCGUGGCUUUUAACCACGUGGUCGUGGGUUCGCUCCCCACAGACGGUG